GCCUAUAGCUCAGUCGGUUAGAGCAACGGACUCAUAAUCCGUGGGUCGUAGGUUCAAGCCCUACUGGGCC
rnacentral:tRNA from 1 species